UACGUAGGGACCAAGCGUUGUUCGGAUUUACUGGGCGUAAAGGGCGCGUAGGCGGCCUAACAAGUCACUUGUGAAAUCUCCGGGCUUAACUCGGAACUGCCAAGUGAAACUGUCAGGCUAGAGUGCAGAAGGGGGCAAUCGGAAGUUCUUGGAUGUAGCGGUGAAAUGACGUAGAUAUCAAAGAGGGAACACCCUGAGGUGAAGACGGGUUGCUGGGCUGACACUGACGCUGAGGCGCGAAAGCCAGGGGAGCAAACGGG
rnacentral:rRNA from 1 species